GGACCGGUAGCUCAGCUUGGUAGAGCACUUGGCUUUUAACCAAGGGGUCGCGGGUUCAAAUCCCGUCCGGUCCA
rnacentral:tRNA from 1 species